GACGAACGCUGGCGGCGUGCUUAACACAUGCAAGUCGAACGAAGUGGCGAACGGGUGAGUAACGCGUAAUCAACCUGCCCUUCCGAGGGGGACAACAGUUGGAAACGACUGCUACUACCGCAUACUGAAGGUGGGGAUUGCGUCUGAUUAGCUAGUUGGAGGGGUAACGGCCACCCAAGGCGAUGAUCAGUAGCCGGUCUGAGAGGAGGAACGGCCACAGUGGGACUGAGACACGUCCCAGACUCCGACGGGAGGCAGCAGUGGGGAAUCUGCCGAAAUGGACGAAAGUCUGACGGAGCAACGCCGCGGGAGUGAUGACGGCCUUCGGGUUGUAAAGCUCUGUUAAUCGGGACGCGGUACCGGAAUAGAAAGCCACGGCUAACUACGUGCCAGCAGCCGCGGUAAUUC
rnacentral:rRNA from 1 species